rnacentral:rRNA from 1 species
GAUGAACGCUGGCGGCGUGCCUAAUACAUGCAAGUCGAGCGAACGGACGAGAAGCUUGCUUCUCUGAUGUUAGCGGCGGACGGGUGAGUAACACGUGGAUAACCUAUCUAUAAGACUGGGAUAACUUCGGGAAACCGGAGCUAAUACCGGAUAAUAUUUUGAACCGCAUGGUUCAAAAGUGAAAGACGGUCUUGCUGUCACUUAUAGAUGGAUCCGCGCUGCAUUAGCUAGUUGGUAAGGUAACGGCUUACCAAGGCAACGAUGCAUAGCCGACCUGAGAGGGUGAUCGGCCACACUGGAACUGAGACACGGUCCAGACUCCUACGGGAGGCAGCAGUAGGGAAUCUUCCGCAAUGGGCGAAAGCCUGACGGAGCAACGCCGCGUGAGUGAUGAAGGUCUUCGGAUCGUAAAACUCUGUUAUUCGGGAAGAACAUAUGUGUAAGUAACUGUGCACAUCUUGACGGUACCUAAUCAGAAAGCCACGGCUAACUACGUG